rnacentral:rRNA from 1 species
GACGAACGCUGGCGGCGUGCUUAACACAUGCAAGUCGAACGGAAAGGCCCUGCUUUUGUGGGGUGCUCGAGUGGCGAACGGGUGAGUAACACGUGAGUAACCUGCCCUUGACUUUGGGAUAACUUCAGGAAACUGGGGCUAAUACCGGAUAGGAGCUCCUGCUGCAUGGUGGGGGUUGGAAAGUUUCGGCGGUUGGGGAUGGACUCGCGGCUUAUCAGCUGGUUGGUGGGGUAGUGGCUUACCAAGGCUUUGACGGGUAGCCGGCCUGAGAGGGUGACCGGCGACAUUGGGACUGAGAUACGGCGCAGACUCCUACGGGAGGCAGCAGUCGGGAAUAUUGCACAAUGGGCGGAAGCCUGAUGCAGCAACGCCGCGUGCGGGAUGACGGCCUUCGGGUUGUAAACCGCUUUCGCCUGUGACGAAGCGUGAGUGACGGUAAUGGGUAAAGAAGCACCGGCUAACUACGUG